GGUGUGGUGGAGCAGUUUGCGCAUUGGACUUCGACUCUGGAGGCCAGGGUUCAAAUCCCCGCUUGGCCA